CACGAAGUGGGCGGAGAGGCUUUUUAAAAUCUGACAGUAGCCACCGUCACUGAAUUGAAAAAUACCGAUCCCGGUUUUGUCACGAAUAGACUGGAAUUGCUGAAUUCCUUUGUUAGCCGAGGCAGGGCUGGGCGCCGCGAAUGUUUUCUGAGCCGUGUGAGCCCGCCAUCUUUAUCCGGGGCCAACUGGAACCGGAGAGUGCGCAUGUCCUUUACUUGUUGGGAACGGGGCGAGGGGAAGGCGAGCAGGAUUUACGAACAGCAACUUCAAACCAAGAGAAAUGCUUUUCUUUUUCUGUUCUGAAUCUCUGUCCUGGAUUGAUCGUGAUGGAUUUUACACUCUUACAGAUCAAUGUCAGCAGAGGAAUUUGGCAGACUUGAACCUCAGAAAGAGUGAAAGAGUAACUCGAUUGAUGAGGAUCUGAAUGUUAUCAGCAUCUGAAUGUGGUAACGUUCAGGAAGUUGGAGCAUUUGCAGUCAGUGAACUCAAAUCUCGCUGCAGAUUCUAACGAAAUGUUGAAUUCAUCAUGUCUUGAAUAUCAUCAGGCUUUGAUCAUGGAAGCCAAAACCAGUGUUCGCACUGAGAAACCAUGGAAAUGUGAGGACUGUGAGAAGGAAUUCAAAUAUCCAUCUUCCCUGGAAAGUCAUCAGUGUGGUCACACUGGAGAGAGACCGUUCACCAGCCCUGACUGUGGAAAGGGAUUCAUUUGAUCAUCCAGUCUGCUGACACACCAGCAAGUUCAUAUAAGAGAGAGGCAGUUCAUCUCCUCUGAGUGUGCGAAAGGAUUCACUCACUCAUCCCAUCUGCUGACUCACCGGCACGUUCACACUGGGGAGAGACCUUUAAAAUAUCCACACUCUAGGAAUUGCGAGAAAAGUUCGAGAGAACUAAUAUCUCACAUUAGUGAGAAACCAUUCAGGUGCUCUCACUGUGCGACUCGGUUCAAGCGAUCAUCUAAACUCCCAAUACACCAGCACAUUCACACUGGGGAGAGACCGUUCAUCUAUUCCAUAUGUAGGAAGUGUUUCAUUCACUCAUCUGACCUGGUGAAACACCAGAAAGUUCAUUCUAAUGAGAGACCUUUUUCAAUGUUCAGACUGCAGGAAAUGCUGUAAAUGUUCUGGAGAACUGAUGUCCCAUCAACAUGUUCACACUGUUGAGAGCCCAAUAAGAUACUCUCAUGAUGGGACUGGGUACAGAUGAAUAUGUAACCUCGCUGGACACCAAUGCAUCCACACAGGGGAGAUACCAUUCACUUGCUUCAUGUGCAGGAAGAGAUUCGUCAGAUCAUUGUACCUGCUGAAACACGAGCAAGUUCAUUCUGACCAGAGAAUGUGGGAAAUGGUAUAAAGAUUCUGAACAAUUAGCCUCCAUGAACUUGCUCACAUUAUUGAAAUAACUUUGAAUGUUCAGAUUGCAGAAAAUGCUUUAAAAGUCCUCAACAAUUGAUGAUCCAUCAAUGUGUUGACACAGGUGAGAGACCGUUCCAGUGCUUUCACUUUCAAACUGGGUUCAGGUGAUCAUUUCACCUCAUUGUAUGCCAGUGAUGUUCAGACUGGAGGGAGGUCGUUCGCCUGCAUUGAAUGUGGGAAGGGAUUCACUCAAACACCCGACAACCCCCCCGCCCCCCCUAAAAAACAUGAGUGAAUUCACAAAUAACCACAGUGGUUGCAUUUUGCUAUUAAUUAUGUUCGGUAAUGAACACAUUUCAUUGUUGUCUGUUUCUACUGAUGUUAAAUUGACUUUCCUGAAAAUAUGGGUUUUUAUUUUCUGAGUAAAAGGCAAAUAAAUUAGCUUUGUAUUUAACACAAAA